ACUACGGGUGGCUGCAGUGAGGAAUAUUGGUCAAUGGGCGCGAGCCUGAACCAGCCAAGUAGCGUGAAGGAUGACUGCCCUACGGGUUGUAAACUUCUUUUAUAAAGGAAUAAAGUGAGGCACGUGUGCCUUUUUGUAUGUACUUUAUGAAUAAGGAUCGGCUAACUCCGUGCAAGAAGCCGCGGUAAUACGGAGGAUCCGAGCGUUAUCCGGAUUUAUUGGGUUUAAAGGGAGCGUAGAUGGGUUGUUAAGUCAGUUGUGAAAGUUUGCGGCUCAACCGUAAAAUUGCAAUUGAUACUGGCAGUCUUGAGUACAGGUGAGGUAGGCGGAAUUCGUGGUGUAGCGGUGAAAUGCUUAGA
rnacentral:rRNA from 1 species